AUAAGCUGAGAAUCAAUCCAUAAUAUUAUUUUCCUUAGUUAAGUAAGGAGAAUCAAUUGUAAGCAGGUUUACCAUAAAUAGACGUGAGAUGAGUACAAAGAAGUACUGAUUUAGGAGGGAAUAAGUACUAACGGUAGAAAACAUAUCAAUGUUGGUAAUUACCAUAAAUCAGUCCAGUUUUUUAAAAAACCUUUCCAUACCACACAAGAAUAAAAGAUUAGAAAAAUCACAGACAUACCCAGUUUACCUAAAAUAAGCAAGGACAAGAGUUAACACACAUUUGAUCCCAAUCAUAUAUCAGUAAAAAAAUCCCACUUGAUUGUAAAUAAACUGGAUCCUACUAUUAUCAGCUGUUGUAAUACUUUUAGCUCACCAAAUAAAGAUAGCUGCAAAUUCAAAUUUUAAACAGAUAACCCAAGCACAUUUUAGACCACACAGUAACAACUUCUACCCGUAAGGGAAGGAUAUCAGAUUUAGAGGUAUCAUACUUCAAAUUAUGAAAUUAAAAUAAUGAAACUUGGGGCUUUGAAUAGGUAUGUCAGUCUGGAGAUGAACAUAAGCCCAAAAAUUAACAAAUAAGAACAAAAUUCAGAGUCACAAUAUCUUAAUUUAUAAAGUUGCAGGGCUGCAAUUUGUAAUCAUAGCAAACAAUCAUGCAUGUUAACCAAAGCAAACAACCAUGUAAUUAAGAGUUUGAGAAAUCAAACCAGAUAGAAAUAGUCGAUGUUUAUCGAAAGCCUCGCUGGUUAUGACAACUAGAUAGUGACAAUGGGGUCUUUCCUCGACUAGGGAGGGAAGAGUGAAGCAGAGGCGGCAGUGAGAAGACGGAUUGAUUGGACGGUGGGGAGGUCCGUUGCUGUUGGUGCUGCUUUGGGCAACUGGCGUGGCGCCAUGGUUGCUGGUGAUUGAGGAAAGGCGACGCUGGGGUUGACUCAUUGCUUUUGGUGGCAGCGUGGCUGCUAGGAGUACGGAGAUGAUGGCGUUGUUGUGGCCAUCGUUGAUGGAGGUGCCAUGGAUGGUGCGGCGGUAGUACGUCGAUCGGAGGAUGAAGGCGGCUCGUGGUAGCUGUUGUUGCUGCUUCGCGGUGGCACUUAGUUCGCUAGAGGAGAGAGAUGACAUGGAGAAGGAGAAGGAGAGAGGGGCGGCGCCGGCGUUGAUAUGGCCAACAGCUAUGGUUGCCGAUAGAGAGGGGAUUAGAGAAAGAGAAGAGAAGUAAAGAGAGAAAAAGGAGAGAGGGGUGUUGGAGGCAGAUGAAAAAAUGUUUUUGGAAAAUUAGGGUUUUGGGUUAUUAAAAAGGAAAGAAAAGUUUGAGGCAUCUCAGUCUUUUGAUUAAUUUUGAUCAACGCUUGAGAUUAAAAUAGGAUUAAUAACUUGAUUUGGUUAAAAAUGAAACACUUGUGGCUAUAUUUGACAUGAAAUAGCCAAAAUUGACUAGAUUUGUAAAGAUUAGGCUAUAAGAUGAAUAAAUUGGAUAAAUUGGUUUUUAAAAUUAGGUUGUUAUUUCAAUUAAAGUAGAGAUAGUAAAUAAGAAUAAUAAUAAUUGAAUAAAUAAUAAUAAUAAUAAUAAUAAUAAAAUAAUAAUAAAUAAUUAUAAUAAUCACAAAUAAUAAAUAAUAAUAUAUAAUAACAAUGUCAAUAAAUAAUAAUAAAUAAAUAAAUAAAUAAUAAUUAUAUCAAGAAAUAGUAUUAAAUAAUGGAAAACUAUAUAAUGUAUUUACAAAAAUAUGAGUGUGCACGAUUACGUGAAAAAAAUAAACUUAAUUAAUAAAAAUUGCGUAAAAUGUCAUAAUUGAUUUUAAAAUGAUGCUAAAAGAUAAUAAAAUAAUUUAUGUAUUUUUCUAAAUUAUGAAUGAGACACGUUAGUAUGUAUUAAAAAUGAAAAUAAUAUGUAAAAAAUAUUAAUAAUUAAGGUUAAAUAAUUUUAAUAAAUAACGGCAUAAAAGUGAUAUCGGGAGGUCAAAAUUGGGUGUCAACUGCUGCCCCUUCUUUGUUUGAGAAUGAUGAAAGAAUUGUCAAGCAAUGAAAGUUGACGUAGUGGCCAAUUUUGUCCGACCGAGAUGAUAGUUCGCUAGAAAGAAAGCACGAAAAGUGUUAAAAAUAGUGUGGCCGAGACUUUGGCUUUAAGUCACCUACAUAUCUCUGUUUUUACGAGAAUCGGGACAUUUGAAGUUCUAGAUUUAGGAAUGAACAAUAUUCCUAAAAAAUAUUAAUGACAAAGGUUGGGGCAUUGAUAAUGAUAUCAUGGAUCGGUGAGGCAGUAAUGAAUAGGAUUUGAAGUAAUUUGAAAACUUUAAGGUAGGUGAGGUGAUGAAUGAGUUCAUAUGGUGGAUGAAUAGAUGGAGUAAUAUUCUGAAAACAGAAACGAAUAUUGUCUCUGUCUGUUAUUUCUUCUCCGUUACCUACAUAUUUCACGGUAUACUUGAUAACCAAGGUUAAGUCAUGUAAAUGAUAAGCAUUUUAAAACAUAAAGUGAGUGUAAGAAGUAAAGAAAGCAUAUCUGUUGUACUAUUAGAUGACAUUGGAUCAUGUCGUUGGAUCAGCUGUUUGGCCUCUCAAUAUGAUGCCGGAUCGGCUGUUGAACCUUUCAAUGUUGAAUCAGCUAUUUGGUUUCUCGAUAUGACGUAGGAUCAGCUGUUGAACCUCUCGAUGUUGGAUCAGCUGUUUGGCUUCUCAUCGUGGGAUCAACUUUUGGGGCUUCUCCGUAUAUUAUGAAAUCGUGGUAUCAACAUUUGAGUUUCUCCAUUGUGGGAUAAGCAUUGGGAUUUUCCAUCAUCAGAUCGGCAUUUGAGCUUCUUCAUCAUCUGUUCAGCAUUUGGGCUUCUCCAUCGUCGGAUCAGCAUUGGAGCUUCUCCAUCGUCGGAUCAGCAUUUGGGCUUCUCCAUUGUCGGAUCAACAUUAGAGCUUCUCCAUUGUCGGAUCAACAUUGGGGCUUCUCCAUUAUCGGAUCAGCAUUGGAACUUCUCCAUUAUCGGUUCAGCAUUUGGACUUCCCCAUCGUCGGAUCAGUAUUGGAGCUCCUCCAUCGUCGGAUCAGCACUUGGGCUUCUCCAUCGUUGGACCAGCAUUGGAGCUUCUCCAUUGUCGGAUCAGCAUUUGGGCUUCUCCAUCAUUAGAUUAGUAUUGAGCUUUUCUAUCGUCGGAUCGGUAUUUGAGCAUCUCCAUUGUCGGAUCAGCAUUAGGCUUCUCUAUUGUUGGAUCAGUAUUUUAGCUUCUCUAUCAUGAAAUCGUGGCCCGUACCUGCCACUUGUAUCUCGACUCGACAGAAAUAAUUAGUGAAUAUAUGUUUGUGCAUAGAGGAUUGAAUAUUAUAGAAAACAAACAUAACGGUAAAGAUAAUGAAAGAUAGAAAAACGUAUUUGUCUUGUUGUCGGAUCAACUGUGCGGCUUCUCAUCAUGAUGUUGGAUUGUCUAUCGUGUUCCUUCAUGAUGAAGUAAUUUCUGUCACCUUAUAUCGUUGGGUCUCUUGUGAUGGAGUGAUUGUUGUCAUCUGUACCUGUUACUUGUUCCUGUACUCAAAGAAAAGUCAUCAGUCAAAAAAAUAUGAAUUUGUACCAUGCUCGAGUCGACUCCUUGGUCGUUGUUUUCUACUCCAUGAACCGUUGGGAUUUGUACUCUAUCGUGAUGAAAUUUUUGAGAAAUUCUCAAAAAAAAUUUCCCCAGUAUAGAAUGUAAAGCACCUUUGGCACGUCAUUUGUGAAUGAAUAUAUUGUUUACUUGUGAAAUUUUUGAGGAAUUCUCAAAAAUUUCUGCCCCAGUUUAGAAUGAAAGGCACCUUUUGCACGUCAUUGUGAAUUGAUAUAUUGUUUAAGUGUAAAAUUUUUGAGGUUUUCUUGAAACCUCAAAAAUUCUGCCCUAGUUGGAGCCGUAUAUUCCUGCACAACUCAAAGAAAAUAUUAGUUCAAGAGAAAUGGUUGUCCUACAUUUGAAUGCUCAAGAGUUGGGUUCAUUAGCUUGACAAUUUGGAUGUGUAAAAAUUUGAAAGAGAGGGGAAAGCAAAUGUUUUAUUAGAUAAAGACCAAACCCAAAGUGGGCUGCCUACGUAUCCAAAUAGAAGUCAGGUCAAAUGUAGUUCGUGAGGGUAAAGCGAGGAUAAGGAGGCGCAACGUUUAUCUUGAGCGAGGAGAAGGAGGGUUAGAGAAUUUUUGAAUGUUGAGCAUAUUUGUCAUAUUGUAGAUUUUCAAUCGAGUCGAUGUUCAAACGCUAGACAACCUUUAAAUAAUAAAUAGUAAACUAAAAUAAAUAUCAGCGUACUCAAUGCGAAAAGAGAUAGUAUGUCAAUAUGAGUCAUUUUGUCCAGGAGGACUUUAGGAUGAAUGUGGGCUAGAACUUAAGCUUUAAAAAUAAAUUGAUAUCACAAGAUAGAAGAUAGAUUCUAAUAGAUUCUAACAAAGACUUAGAUACCAAAUUCGUACUUGAAGCUGAUUGAGUAAAUAAGUGAAUAAUGAUAAGAUAUUGCAGAGAUGUGCAUAAAAAUGUUUAAAGAAAUUGUUUUGAACAAAUGGGAGAAUUGAAGAUUGACAAAGUUUUGAGCACUUUGAAGUAUUUACUUUGAAAUGUCUGAGAGUUUAAAAUAUUUUGAAAAGUCAUUUGAAUAAAAAACUUCUAAGUUGUACCCUUAUGACAUUAUGGAAAGGUAAAAGAUAUGGAGAAUAUGAUUUGAUAGAAGAAUUGUUGGAAUGAUAACGAUUGUUUCAUAUUUUCAAAUAUUAGGACGUUUUGUAAAAGAAAGGGAAAAGGAAGACCGCAUCCUUACAAAGGAUUGCCUACGUAUCUUGUUGGAACAAGAAUCAGGUCAGACGUAGUUCAAAAAUUUAAGAGUUGUGGAAGCUGAAUAGCGGGUGGGGAUGAAUUGGAGGAUAUUGAAUAGGCCCUAAGAGUGUAUUUUAGGGUCCUAACAUAACAAGAAUUUUACGAGUAACGAGCUCUAAAGUGAGGAACACUAAAUGUAAGGAGUGACUAAGGCAAGAACGAAACAACAAGAUAGGCAAGAUGUCAAUCCAUACAUAAAAAUGCAACACAUAGCAAAUAAGUGUGAGUCCUCUUAAGGUCGUGAACCUCUUUGGACUUUGAAUGAGACUAACACUCAACAUGUUAAGGAAACCAAGGCACCCUACGUUGAAUGAUAUGCAUAUUCCUUAGUAAAAGGAAUAUGUAGCCAAAACCUAAAGUACAAAAGUGGGUUUAUGACAUAGUUACCUCAAGUGGUCAACUCGAGAGUGGGAAAGCUUGUGGCUAUCAACACACCGCUGAUCGACUGAUCCACAAGACAUUUCUCGAAGGGUCUUUUAGGAAUGAACGUCCGUGUAUUCACGUAACCAUUCAUAAGAGAAAACAAAAGAGGUUCCAAGAGGAGUAAAGUAUGAGCACUAUGCCAGUUAUAUAAAGCAAUAAUAGGCAGCACAUAGGAACACAUAAUAGCAUGCUUUAGCAAAAAUAAAAAUAUAUAAUCAAUAAAGGAAAAAGUAGGAUGGAGGAACGUAAAUGACACAUAACAAAGGAAAGGAGAAGGGAUUAUCAUGCAUAAAUUGAUCAUCAAUAAAAGCAAAAGUAGUCAUGAAGAAACAUGAAUAACACAUAAACAUAGAGAAGGAGAAGAGACAAAUAAAUAAUGAUGUGAAUAAACAUUAAACAUAUAUAGAAUGGCCUAUGUCAAAAGCAAGCAUAAAAAUAAAUAAAGAGAAUCCCACAUAAGCACAAGUUCGUAAUGUUCAGAACCUAAUAAUCCCCAGCAGAGUCGCCAUUCUGUCGCACCCCAUUUUUCUCGCGGAAGGCGGGAUUCGACUCGACAAAAUCUCUUGGGAUUGUAUCUGAAAGGAAGGGCGUGAAGAGUCGCCACCUAACAUAUUAAGGUGCAUUAUAGCACUGGUCUCGACUACUAUGAACAUAUUUUUUCAUUUUGUCAUAGAUCACCAGAGUUUGAGUAAGGGUUCAAAUUACUUCAAAAGGAAGGUGUUAGGCACCUUUCGAGGUCCACAAUGGUGGUUCCUGGCCGAAUUCAUACUUUACAUAGGGAUUCUAUAUGAUCAAAUAAAGGUCUCUUCUUUUAUUAUUAAUUUACUAUUUAGCUAAGCGAUAAGAUAAUAAAUAAGCAAACACAUGUCAUUUGUUAAUGCUAAUUGUUGAUUAUCUAGGUGAUAAAAUAAAUAAAAACAUAGAAAUAAGAUAAGCGAGGAGAAAGAAGCGACAUAAUUUAUAAUAAAAAGGGGACUGCUUUAUAAUAAACUGGCUACCCCAGAUAAACAUGUAAAAUAAAUAAAAAGACUAAAAGAAAUUGUCCGAGUCAAACAAAGAGAUGUUUUGGUUUUAUUUGGAUCAGAAACCCAACUUGUUAAUCAUUAUCCGACCCAAAGGCCGAACUCUUAAACAAGUAAUAAUGUCAUUAGCCUCACCGUUAAUAUUUGUUGGGAUCAUCAUUUUCGAAAAGGGCUACCCGUCCCACCCCACCUAGGCUGGAUGUCAAGUCUAAAGGCGUUCUAUGAUAAGGACAAAACUAACGUUUUUAGUAAUACUUAUCGUCCCAACUAUCGUCCAAGAGGCAUUGGACUUUACUAUUUUGGAUUUGUGUUCUAAACUAAAAGAAAGCUAUGUUGCCUAGGACUCGAAAUGUAAAUAUAUUGGACAACAAGUAACACGUAAUAAUCCCAAGUUAGCCUCUUGAUUAAUUAACAUUUAUUAACGUGAUAGCAUGCGAAGACAGACAAUUAUAUAAUACGGCAUUAACCUAUAGGCAUGAUGUCUAAAUGUUCAAUCAAGUGGUGAUAAAGGACAACUGUGAUUCGUGCAUGCAACAAUGUAAUGCGUGUUCAUGAGGGUGUCACAAGUGUGGUAAAUGUGUCGAGAAAUAUUUUUUGAAUUGAGUGUUGCAAACUAAUGAGAAUAGAAGAAAUAAACAAGAAUAUUAAAAAGCACUAACAUGUUAAGGAUGCCAUAAUAUACUUACUCUAGUGUUUAAACGUACCGAAAAGUGCUCAAAAGUAUGUAUUUUUAUAUAACAGCAAUUGUAUUAUUUCAGAAAUUUCAUAGUGACAUGCUGAGAGUGUAUAAAUUAUACAAAAGAUGUCUUAAAGCUAACAUUUUGAUAUGCUGAUAUAUUUAAACAUGAUAGAGAUAUGCCAACAUACAGAAACUUUAACAUGCUAGAAGUAGUUAUGACAUGCUGAAAUUUAUUAGAUGCAUAGAAUUUUAAUGUUCUAAUGUUAAUAACAUGCUAAAUUUGUAUAGAUACACAAAAAUAUAUUUUAAACGUGUUGAAAUUUAUUUAAACAUGCUGAGAUUUGUCUUAAUGUGCCGAAAUACCAUAUUAACAUGCUGAAAAUUGCAAUAGCCCAAAAUAAUGAUAUGCAAAAAAAGUGAAUGUAUUAACCUAUUUGCACUUAAUUUAACAUGCUUAAAAUAAGUUAACAUGCUAAGCGAUAAUUACCUCAACAUGUCAACAUGUUUAAGAUUCACUAUACGACAUACCGGAAGAUACAUUGAUAUGUUUAUGUCGAAUUAAUGUGCCCGUUAUGCUAUAAUACAUAAUGUUAGGUUAAUAUGCUUAUAUUCGUGUUAACAAGAUUGGCAUAUUAAAUCGUUCACACCUAAUACUAAAAUUAUGUUAACAUAUCGGGAUUGACUCAAAUUCGUUAGCAAACAAAUUAAGCAUUGCAUAUGUUAAUGAAUCCUAGAUGAUCCACGUAGCACGUAUUACAUAUAAUUCUAGUUUGUGCGUACUUAUACCGUUCACAGAGCAUGUAAAUUCUCUCCCCCCAAAGCAGUCCCCAGAAUUAUACUACUACAAUGAUAGGAAUGUCUUACAAUAAUAUUACAGAACAAAUAGUAAUAAAGGAAAAACAACUAGUUAAAAAAUACAUAAUUUAAAUAUUCUGGGGACUCUUUGGAACUUGUACGUGUCUGUUUAACCUGCGAAACAUAUUAUAAUGGCAAGAAGACAGGAACACAUAGUAGCAAACAUCAAAAUAUUCCUAAAGACAUACUUUCUAAAGGUUUUUAGAACAUAGUGCAAUCAACACACAUAGAGAAUGAAAAAUUACAUCGUUCAAGAACUCACCAGUGAACAGCAGUACAGAGAGAAUAAGAACAAUAUGAGCCAAAAGCCAAGCACACGUAAUAGUUGAAGUAUGCAAGAUAUUAACAACAGUCUUCAAAAAGAAACACUUUAAAAUAUUUAAUUGCCUUAGAGAGUAGUAGUAGUAAUUGUAAUGUCAAAGCUUAAGAGUUUAAGAGCUUAAGAACCUGUGAACUUGUGAACUUGAGAAGUGAGAGCUUGUGAACUUGUGAACUUGAGAAGUGAGAGCUUGUGAACUUGUGAACUUAUCCCUUACUGAAAAAAAUGAAUGAGUUUAUAUAGUAAAAGAGAUUAGAGGGUAAAAGGAGAAAAAUAGGUUUUCCACUCAAUCGAAAUCAAUAAGGAGAGAGAAAUAAGCUGAGAAUCAAUCCAUAAUAUUAUUUUUCUUAGUUAAGUAAGGAGAAUUAUUUGUAAGCAGGUUUACCGUAAAUAGACGAGAGAUGAGUACAAGGAAGCACUAAUUUAGGAGGGAAUAAGUACUAAUGGUAGAAACAUAUCAAGGUUGGUAAUUACCAUAAAUCAAUCCAGAUUUUUAAAAAAACCUUUCCAUACCACACAAGAAUAAAAUUUUAGAAAAAUCACAGACAUAUCCAGUUUACCUAAAAUAAGCAAGGACAAGAGCUAUCUUUCAAUUUCAUCCCAAUCAUAUGUCAAUAAAAAAUCUUACUUGAUUGUAAACAAACCGGAGCCUACUAUAAUCAGCUAUCAUAAUACUUUUAGCUCACCAAAUAAAGAUGGCUGGAAAUUCGAAUUUUAAAUAGAUGACCCAAACACAUUUUAGACCAAAAAGUAACAACUUUUAUCCGUAAGUGAAGGAUAUCAGAUUUAGAGGUAUCACACUUUAAAUUACGAAAUUAAAAUAAUAAAACUUGGGGAUUUUAAUAGGUAUGUAAGUCUGGAGACGAACAUAAGCCCGAAAAUUGACAAAUAGGAACAAAAUUUAGAGUCACAGUAUCGUAAUUUAUAAAGCUGCAGGGCUACGAUUUACAAUCAUAGUAAAGAAUCAUGCAUGUUAACCAAAGCAAACAACCAUGUAAUUAAGAGUUUGAGAAAUCAAACCAGAUAGAAAUAGUCUUUGUUUGUUGAAAGCCUCGCUAGUUAUGACAACUAGAUAGUGAUAAUGGGGUCUUUCAUCGACCAGGAAGAAAAGAGUGAAGCAGCGACGGCAGUGACGAGACGGAUCGAUUGGACGAUGGGGAGGUCUGUUCUUGUUGGUGCUGCUUUGGGUGAAUGGUGUGGCGCCAUGGCUACUGGUGAUAGUGGAAAGGUGGCACUGGGGUUGAUUCGCUGCUUUUGGUGGCGAUAUGGCUGCUAGGAGUACGAAGAUGAGGGCGUUGUUGUGGCCGUCGUUGAUGGAGGCGCCAUGGCUGGUGCGGCGAUGGUAUGUCGAUUGGAGGAUGAAGGGGACUCAUGGUGGCUAUUGCUGCUGCUUUGUGGCGGCGCUUGGUUUGUCGGAGAAGAAGGAUGAUGGAGAAAAGAAGGAAGAGAGGGGGGCGGCACUGACGUUGAUGUGGCCGGCAGCUAUGGCUGCCGAUAGAGAGGGGAUUAGAGGGAGAGAAGAGAGGUAUAGAGAGAAAGAGGAGAGAGGGGUAUUGGAGG
rnacentral:lncRNA from 1 species